rnacentral:lncRNA from 1 species
GAGGGACGGAUGAAAGGAAAUCAAGGAAGAUUUUCAGAGGGCAGGUGGGGGGAGGCUGGGGACCUUCCUGUGGGGGCACAAAUCUUGUCCUGUCACUGGAGGAUGCACACAGCUCAUGGAGACCACGUCAACCACCGGCCUAAGGAAAGCAGCGGGAAAGCUGUGAGUUGAAGCCAGAGAUGAAUCCAUGCUCAACCUGUGUGUGGCAGACUCCUAAGUACUUGCUAGGGAGGGUCCUCAAAACCAGCUCCAGGUCCUCAAAAUUAGUGUACAAGCUGUGGACACCACAGAGCAAAGCCACUGCUCAGAGAAAGCACACAUCCUGGUUGCUAUGUCUUCCAUGCACGGGGCCCUCACUAUGGACCAGACACUCCUAAGGGCCAUGCACCCUGUACGAUAUCUGAUCCCCCAUCUACCUUCCCUUUACAGAAAGUGUGACGCGGCUUAAGCAGCUUGUCUGAGUUUGCACAGCUGGCAAAUGGCUGAGCCAUGACUCACACCCAGGUCCAUCCACCGCCAAAGCUCCAGAUCUCUGGCAUCCUUCUAAGGUCAGAAAGGGAAAGAAAUCCCUAAUAAGGAGCCUGUGUGACGGCGUGCCCCCCUCCACUUUCCCACCCCUGCCAAGGACCCGUUUGAAGGCUGUUCACGCCAGUCACUGCAAUCACCAUUGAGCACAGAGAUGACAGUUCCAGCAAGCACUGACCUUCCAGCCCACUCUGCGGAGGAGAAGACUGAGGGGCAGAGAGGCUGUUGAUUUGCUGCAGUUGACUCUGACCCUAAUUUCCCGGCGCUGACUCAAACUCAUCAGGAACACUGCUUUCACUGAGUGUAUGAAGUGGUUUCUCCAUCCGUGUGGCUUUACCUGAACUCACACCGGUCCCACGGCCCAGGUGUGGAGCCGAGCACUCCCCUCUGCCUCCUCCCUGGACUGCAGGACCUGUGUCUCGCUUUAUGAAAGAGAUGCCAUUUGGGGAAGACUCGCAUUGUCGGGAGCGCUGUGGACGCUCCAGAAGGAGAUCAACACGAUGAUGACGAUGCCGGGUGGAGGGAAUGUGCACUUCUCGGGAGCCAGAAAAGAAUAAUCUGAAUGUCUCCAGCAUCAAGAAAAGACCAGUAUUGAAGGUGAUGGAUGCCUUAAUUACGCUGAUUGGAUCUUUACAAAUUAUAUUAAUGUAUUAAAUUAUUACAUGUAUGCAGAAAGUCUGUACACCUAUUAUGCACCAAUAAAAAAGAAAUUUUUUAAAGUGAGCAAA